rnacentral:rRNA from 1 species
CCAAUAGCGUAUAUUAAAGUUGUUGCAGUUAAAAAGCUCGUAGUUGAAUUUUAGGCCUGGCCGGGCGGUCCGUCUUUGGCGAGUACUGUCCUGUGUCGGGUCCACCUUCUGGUGAACCAGUAUGUUCUUUAUUGGGUGUGCCGGGGAGCCAGGACCAUUACCUUGAAAAAAUUAGAGUGUUUAAAGCAGGCAUUUGCUUGAAUAGAUUAGCAUGGAAUAAUAGAAUAGGACGUUGUGGUUCUAUUUUGUUGGUUUCUAGGACCACCGUAAUGAUUAAUAGGGAUAGUUGGGGGCAUUAGUAUUCAACUGUCAGAGGUGAAAUUCUUGGAUUUAUUGAAGACUAACUAUUGCGAAAGCAUUUGCCAAGGAUGUUUUCAUUAAUCAAGAACGAAAGUUAGGGGAUCGAAGACGAUCAGAUACCGUCGUAGUCUUAACCAUAAACUAUGCCGACUAGGAAUCGGGCGACGUUAUUUUCAUGACUCGCUCGGCGCCUUAUG